UCAAUUUUCAAAAGAGACCAACGUAUUUAUAAGGCCUUCUCCUUCUUCGUCGAGUCCGUCUGUUCAAAUUUCGCGCCAAAUCCCAAAACCAGACCCAAAUGUACAAGCUUUUCCAGACCAACAAUGGCUAUCUUUGCUCUACUCUCAGAAAUCACUUCAGAAACUUGAGAAUCUUCUCACCCAUUUCUCAAUUUCACGACGGUCUGAAUCCGAAGCUUGAUUUUGUAUUGGGGGAAAUUAAAGAGAUUCAAUCAUCGAAACCCGUGACAGUCGUUACCCAAUCGGAAUCGGACUCUGAUGACGCUCGAAUCCUUACAGAGGCGGAGAAUGUUUCUUUUGAGAUUUUGCACCCGUGGCCGGAGUGGGUGGAUUUGAUGGAGUGCUUGUUGAAACGAGGCUACUUCGAAGGGAGCGGAAACCCAUUUCGAAAUAGUCAAUUGGGUCACAAAGAAUCGAAAUUUAUUCGGACUGCGUGCCUUAAUUUCGCCCGAGAUCAUUUUAAUCUCAUAAGGUUCUUAUCUAAGAAAAAUAUCCAGGUCAUUUCUGGAUGUGGAUGUCCAAGUUUGGAUAGAAAAGUUGUAAACUCAGGGAAGCGUUUGAGGGCAUACGCAGGCGUCAAUGAAGGAGAUACUUGCAGCUCCUGCAAUUUGAGGGGACAUUGUGAGAGAGCUUAUGUAAAGGCUCGUGAAGAUGAAGGUGGGCGAACAGUGGAUGUUAUGCGUUUCUUGUUGACAUAUGGGCUUGAUCCCAUUGCUGGUACGGUGGAAAACAUGCCAUGUCUAAACAAAAUGGUCAAAGAAUCGGUAAGAACACUACUCAAAGAGAUGGUAGAACAUAGCAUGAGGAGUAUGAAUACCAAUUACCCAAAGUUAAAGACAGUAGAAAAGUUUGUACCAGUUGAAGAUCCAAAAAUUCCACAAGAAAAAGGCCGGAUACAUGUCCCAAUGAAGCAAGGCGACUGGCUGUGUCCAACAUGCAACUUUCUAAACUUUGCUAAAAAUAUCAAAUGCCUGCGCUGUGAUGGUUUGUUCGAAGAAAAACUGAAGCAACUAAGAGAGAAUCAGGAUAAUCUUCCAUUGAAGAAGGGAGAUUGGAUUUGUGACAAAUGUAAUUUCUUGAAUUUCGCUAAGAACACAAAAUGCUUGCAAUGCAAAGAGAAGCCUCCAAUGCGGCAGCUCAAUCAAGGGGAAUGGGAAUGUCCAUCGUGCAACUAUAUCAAUUUCAGAAGAAACAUGGUCUGUUUAAAAUGUGACCAUAGAAGACAGAAGGCAAUGAAUUCUUCAGAAAGAAGUGACCUUGAAAAUGUGCGGUACUGUAAUAGUAGAUCAAUGAAUGUUGAAGGUGACAAUGCUGAUAAUAAUAUUUGUCGAAACAAUAGUGCAAACAUGUGGAGAUUUGUGGAAGAAGAGAAUGAAGAAUGUACUCAUCCAAAGUCAAAGAAUGAGGCUUCUGGUUUUGUUGAUUUUCCAAUUGCUGGAGGUAAGACCGAUUUGUCUCAAAAUGCAGAAAAGAGAGAGAGAUGGAAAUCAGAAAUGCUAGAGAGAAGCAAAGGUACAUUUAAGGCCACAGAAGACGAUGGUGACGAGUUAAGACCUGCCCGUCUCCAGAGAAGGUCAGAGUUUGCAUAUUCUGCUGACGAUGAAGAAAUGGCCGAAUGGUUCGGCCCUGGAAAGUUGGAAAGAAAAGGGAUUGUUCAUGGACAUGAGAAAAUUCAAGAUUGAAGAUUAGAUCUCUCCUGUCAGAUUGGGGUGGUCAACCAUGAAAAGCUUGUGAAAUCAGCAUUAACCACAACAACCACUCUCUUCUUGAGUUUCUAAACCCAACGGUGAAGAAAUUCUAUUACCCCAAUGGAAACAAAUAAAUGCCAAAUGAUGGUAGUAGUGACGAGAUAACAACUCUUAAGCAGCGGGAUUUGAGGUAUUAGACAGGGAAGUAUGUAUAGUGAGCAGGGUCAGUUCUGGUACGUAUACUGUGAGCGGCUACGGGCGGACAAACGAUCUAGAACGCCGGUGGUGCCUUAGUUUUAUUUUAAGCAGUUGAUAAAUCUAACACAGUGGAAAUGCAUUAUUUAAAAUUAUUUACUUACUGUAUCUUGUUUUACAAAUGAAGGAUCCUUCUCUGUUGCAUUUUGAUUUUUUUUAAAAUCAACUGUAUUUAAAUUAUU